GCUUCCCAUUUCUGAAAGCAUGAUCUAGAUUCCUGUUUGCCUCCUAUGAUUCAUGCUAGCAGAGUGUUUGAGCAUUUCUUAUGAUACCAUUCAUCACCAAUUCGAUUAGUGCUAUGAGGCUGCAGAACUGAGCAUCUCUUCCUCACAGGUCAGUUCAACAUUCAUUCAGUCUGUUCAUUCAUCCUCAUCAUUCAGACACCACCAUGAUUAAGUUUUCCACGUCAUUCUACGCUUCAGUUUUUACACCUGCAGCAUCACCAGCAGAAGUUCAUUUCACAGUCCUCCUCAACACUAUUUUUGUAGCACAAAAAUGAUCGAUAUCAACACUUUGUGAGACACAGAUUCAUCUCAGCAGAACGGAUGAGUUUAAAACAGAUGAAUGAACUGGAUUUUCAGACCAAAAGGAAAGGAUCUGCUUGCACAGUUUCAUACUCAUUCUGUCUUGUGAGGACAAGAGCACCAGCAACUGAUAACAGGUAGUUUAACACCAGAAAUGAACACCUUUGUAGUGUAUCAUUUUAUGGGAACAUCAAAAUAGCAAUAGAUGAUUUCUAGUUUUAUAUACUUGUACCUCAUCUGUACUUCAAUGUGACAAAUACAGACUGACUGUGAAGCUGUGAAUGUAGGCAGCUGCACAAAAUGGACAAUUAGUAUAAAUGAAAAUUCCACACAUGACAGUAAGAGUUUGAAGAAAAUUAACAUUUACAAACUCGUAAACGUUUUAUUACUAACUAUACAGGCUUGAUUGAAAUUUAAUAGUAAGCUGCCAGAAUCUUUCCUUCUGGUCUUUUCUAUUUCUUUUUUUUUUCUAUUUUUUUUUUUUUUUUUUUUUCUUUUAUUUGUAAUAAGAUCACUGGUUUCUUUUCAAAAAUGCCUCUUUUCAAUAACAAAAAUUCCUAUAUUACAAUUGAUUCAAAAGACAUGACAUUCCUCCCCACCAGCCAGAUGUUUCCUUCAAAUAUCCACACAUAUUUGAAGGAAACAUCGCACAACAGCCUGAUGGGAAGUGACAAGCACUUGGUCCAGCAACAUCUCAUUUACAUAGAGGGUUUUUCUGCUGUUCAAACAUUUAGUGUAAUGAGAUCUCAUUAAUUCAGAAUCAGAUGACUUGCAGGGCUUUUUAAAGUACUCAGGCACUAGUAAAUCUGAUAUCCCGUAGUAUACAAAUACAUACUCAAUGAGUGAAGAGGGAAGAUAAGCUUUCUUUUUUUUUUUCCUUGCUGUUUGAUAGGUGCAUGAGACAAAAUCAACCACCUACACCUCGAUUCUUGAGGGAUACUUCAGAUUUGGCACUCUCAGUGGUGUAAAGUGACUGCAACCACAGAGAAGCUUUCAGGGUGAAAUUAGUGCCAGUGUCGGGCUGCCAGGUAAAUUACCUGUACUGUACAUAGCAAAGUUACAGUCUGCAUGCAACCCACACGAUUAAAUGAUAGGAAAUAAAGUUAAAUCAAUAAAAUAGAGGCACGGAGGAGAUUAUUAUUAGUUAUCUUAACUUCAGUAAAAAAAAAUAAAAAAAAUUAAAAAAAACCCCAACACUUUGACUAAUAAUUCCCUUUAAACACUUUCUAAUCUGAUUUCUAGGGAUAUUUUCCUCUGAGAGAGGAAUUUAGCACAUUAAGUGCAAAAGAAGAUUAUAACAAUUCAGUUUACUGUAACAGACGCUUCUUGCAUUUUUCCAACUUCCAUUACACCGUUAUUUCUUAAUUGCAUUUGAUGGCAAUUCGAGGUUUUACUUUCCUGAUUCCCACUUGGCUCCUCAAAGCUGAUUGGAGCUAUUUUAACUCAGAGUUUUGAGUUACUGCUCUGUGGAUUAUAGCCACACUUGUCUAUGCUGAUUUGUUCUAUCUGUCUCACUUUUUGGUUUUACACUGGUUCAGCCCUGGAUAGACAGAUUAUAGAUAUAUUUUUUUACAUUUUCUUCCUUUUAAACAAACAAACAAACAAAGAAGAAUGCUACACAUCAGGAUGCAUUCUGCUUUCUUCUGGCCCCUACAAGCCUACAAAAGUGCCAGGGCUGAGCAUGUGCAACUGAGUCCACCAGUCUGUCCAUGGUUUUUGAUGUAUUUGACAAGGUAUCUCUACAACCUGAGCAGUCAAUGAGUUAGAAAAGGAACAGAAGUUAUAAUGAAGAAGACUAGCAUAUAAAUGGAUUUAUUCCUUCGAUACAAGAAGAACUAUUUCAGCUUUCCCACUCUUUUCUGUCAACUCUGUACAAAUGCUGUCCUCUCAACUCACUGCCACAUACUGCAAUGCCAUGACCCUAAAAUAACCAUUUAUAAGACACAUGGGGUCCAUUUUGAUACUAACAAUUUUAAUACACUCUGUGAGAAGGCCCCAUCGCUGAUAACUUACAACUUUUCUCCUAAAGCACGUUAUGUCCCGUAAAAAAAUCUUUUAAAUAUAAUUCGGUUAAUUUUGGCCAAUUCAUUCCUAUAGGACAACAACAAAGAAACACCAACACUGAAAGCAGACAAAGAAUAGCUCAACAAGCCUGUUUAAACCAAACUCAGCCUCACAGUAAUGGUCACUGGUUGCAUUUAGCCUUAAGUUCUUAGAACUCUGCACACAAUCUGAGUUUUUCACAUUUGAUGUUUGGUGGAAAACGGUUCACCUAAUAUUCAUCAGUAAUUGGCAGCUGCCCCAAUGCAGGCAGAGGGCUGCUAUGCUCCUUGGGAAGUUAAGAAUAAAAUAUAGGCAGCUGUGCAAAUGGUUCUGCCGAGGGCUAAUCAAUAUGGUUCACAUCUGAGUUACAAGUUUGCACAAUUUAGAAAAAUCAAUAUAAAUUUAAUUAAAUUCUGGACGUGAUUUUUUGAUGCUCAGGAAUGACAUACAAUUCCUUAUCAUCAAAAUGCUCAGGUGAAAGCAAGAAAAAAGCCCCACCAACGCUUCAGAAAUUUAAACAUUUUACAUUUGAUCGACAGAAAAAUGUUGCUUCGCUCUCAUAUUCGAAUUAGUUUUAAACAGUUUUUUAAGGCUACCUAAACAUUUGGUAAUUGGAUAAAGAUGCUGAGCAGCUCAGCAGACAGAUCCUGCACCUUUCCUUCAAGUGCCAUACAAGCUAAAGCCUCCCUAGUUGCAGGUAACUGGAGUAGCCCUCCUUGAAGCAAGCACUCUGUCCCUGUGCUGGAGGUGGCUGCUUGCUCCUUUUAGCUCUACACUGCAUUGAGAAUGGGCUCGGUGCUGCAACAUACUUCACAUUUUCCAGCAUAUUUUCCCUUGGUAAACAGAUAAACUUGUUUAAGAACCCUCCCUAGAGGUGUUUGCCUGCUCACAGGUACCAGUUUUCAAUACACCAGAGGUUACUGACAAACUGCAGAAACUUUGUUUUAGAGCGAAACAAAACAUCCCUUUUAACAAAACAACCUGAAACAGUUACAAACAGUGGUUUAUUUAGGGUGGGAGUAGUGCCCCCUUUAACCCUUUACGUUUAAAACACACUCGCUGCCCUCAAAGGAGGGGAUUGAAGGGCACCAUUUUGACUGCCUACGUGUGCAGAUGGACGACCAUUAGGAGCGGCUGCACUUGGGAUAUGGGAACUUUUGGAAUUCCACAUGCUUUUCCAAAGUUUUUUGUAAGUUUUAAAUCUCAAAGUUCUACAUUGAGAAACUCAUUUUUUUUUCAGAAUAAUUACAAUGUAAAACAUAGGCAUCAAGAAAUAGGCUUGAACCAAGUGCUCAAGAGAAGUUCAAUGCAUGUCAGUUCACAUUCCUGUAUUUGCUGCACUGCUGUAGAAUACUGAAGUUAUUAACUUUUAAACACUACUGAAUAGGAUUGAUAAAUAGCUAAGCAGGACUUCAAUACAUUUCCAACUCUCCACUUCCCCAGCAGGAACUCGGGUAGUUUUACCCAUAACUGCCCCAUAGUAUUGGUUCCUUCGGGUGAUUUAAUUUCAAAAAAUUAUGAAAAAAUGAAGGAAAUUACAUACAACCAAAGCAACUCACAAUAGAGAAGAUUAGCUCAACUCUUACAAGUAAAGGAGCUUGGAAAAUUACUUCUGUUUUUAUUAGAACAUCCCCAUCAUCCCUGCGAGAAUUCAGCUUUCUACAAAAAGAGAGUGAUUCCAUUUGUAAAAUAACAUUGAUCUGCUUCUAUUGCCCUCAUCAUCUGGAUUACAGCUUAAAAGUAAAUCCAUUUCAGAAGAGCAUCACAGUCUGUGAGAACACCCUUCCUCCUUCCUAUGUCCUGAGUUUUGUGCUACAGCUGGAUACACUGAAUUUACUCUGUAAUGCAUAGCUGUAGGUCAAGAGCCAUCCCCCACGACAUGUGUUUCUGUCCUAUUGCUAGGAUGGGAGCCUAUACCUAUCCUCAGCAUCACCAAAUUGAUGAUUCAGGAGCCCUGAAGGAGGUGAAAAGGCUGUAACAUCUUUAAUGCUUUGCACUGACUGUCACAGAUGUGCUGUUUUAAGAGCUCUUAAAUACAGCUCUUAGCACCACCACCGAGUUCCCUGCACUUGGUUCUGUGCAGCCACUGCUCCCUGCCAUGGUACAUUAAAAAUAACCAAACACCACCAUGCAGUGUACUGCUAUUAAUUUAUCAGCUUCCUACAAACUUCAGGACAAAGUACCCUCACAGCCUAUAAAAAGAAGAGAUGGGUGUGGAAAAAAAAAAAAAAAAAAAAAAAAAAAAAAGAGUUUGGGAAGGAAUUUUGAAGCACGAACAAAAAAAGAUCUCUCACCCACAAAAGACAGCUGUGGAAAUACGUUCAGUUUCAUUCCUUUACACAAACUGAUUAAUCUUCCUUUCCUUAACGAGCUCCUUUUUGAGCCUAGGAGUAGCCGAUGUGAUUUAAUUUUCACAACUGUGACUCAGUGGAAAACUUGGAGCUUUCUUCCAAAAAUCUCCGACCACAAGGCUGCCCCAGUCAACAGCCACUGUACAACAGCUCUUUGGUCACACUUGCGAGGAAGGUACGGACCAUUUGCGAACACAUGCCAUCAAACACAAAGGGCUGCCACAACUGAUAUUCAAAUUCCAGAGGUUCAAAGCAAACAUUUGCUCCAGCAGCCUCCCUACCAGCUGAGCGCACCAUCUUCCCUCAUCCAAAACCCCAUACCUGUGUUCAGCUUCUAACCUGAUAGCCAACAUGGAGCGCGAGAGCAAAGCGCGUGCAAAGGCAACGCUACAACUCCGUGCACAGACACCCAACCGCCACCUUCAGAGGUGAUGCUGAUUUCCUUCAAAUAGCUUGUUUUCCUGAAAAUCAGAACCCACAGGCGACCAUCCAAAGAAGCAGAGCUCACCUUUUCAACGUUUUCAAGUUAAAAACUGAGUGAAAGACCCAUAGCAGCCCGAACGGACGCGAAAAGUACGCAUGCACACUCAGAUGCACACAUACACACACCAUGAAACCAGACCUCGGUUAAGAUGAUUUUUCCUUUCCUUAACCAAAGCCAGAGGCGAUUCUCCCAAGUGAUGUGAUUACAUGGCCAAGGUGUACUUGUAAGAAAAAGAAAGCCCCUCAUUCGGCCAAUUAAAGCCUACAGUUCUUUGCACCAUUCUCAAAACCUUUUGGAACUGCUCAGAUGGUUUUGGCGUACAACACGGGCCGCAAUGCUGCUCAACAAACUCAGGUGUCCCCAACGACACUGAAGUUACUUGCAGUAAAAAUAAUGCACUUUGCAGCUCCUAUGAAAGAGCCACGAAACAGCGCUGCGCACAUAGGUCUCCUCCCAGGGAGCUCGCAGAUAGCACAGCAAGGUCAGGUUUUAAUGGAACAACAUGGGACUCCUCCAUUCCUGCAACACCCACUCCAAAAAGAGCUCUCCAAAACACAGCCUUCUCCUGAACACACCAAGAAAAGCCUCGUGACACGCAACCGAACCGCUUCGAUCCGAACGAAUCUGGGCAUUUCCCCCUGUUAUCUAUGGUUACUUUUUCAGACCAGGGCUGAUUUGAUACCUUUCCAUUAAAAAAAAAAACCCAAAACCAACGAACCGUCCCUCUGCCACAGGCAGAGGUGCUGAGAACCAUAGGAAAAGUGAAGCUGUCUCUUUAAAAUGCCCUGAUCCCACGUGGAACCAACAUCAGCAGCACUUUCGCAUUAACUUCAACGUGAGGCGAGAUGAGGCAUCCUCAUUUCAUAUAAACACAACGAGGGGAGCGCAGAACGCCCGCCUGGUGGGACGCAGACAGGUGAAGGGACGUGGCAGGCAGGGCAACGGGCAGAGCAGGAGGGGUGACUGUGUGGAGCACAGAGCCUUCCCCGUGGAGCAUUACCUCAGCCCCACACUGCUCCGCAGGAUCCAGUUUAAAAAGAGAGGAGGGGAGCCACCAGGAAAAGUCGAGAUUGAAAGGCAACGAAAACGCACUUCAUAAACCGGAAAGGUUUACACUUUGCCUCACACAUCCUAAUUAGAUCAGGAAAGUGACACUACAAAGGCACUGCAUUCCGCCCCGAAAAAAAUCAUCACAAAAAGGAUAGAAAAAGAAGGCAGAAAAAAGGAGAGAAGCCCCCCACCUCCAACCCCACCCCCCCACAACUCCGACCCCCCCCCAAACACCCGAAAAGCAUUAAAAAGGGAAGUUAUCCAGCAGCACAUGCAGCAUUUAUCUUAUCUGGGAUCGCUGCGCAUUGCCCCAAAGUUGUGCACUUUCUGCACUCCCCAUCUCCCCCUACCUCUGCCUCCCGAAAGGGAUUUGCACGUUUCCCCAUUGUCGGUGGCGACUGAGAGGAGGCUUUUGCCUUCCCAAAGAAUUCAUCAACAGAAAAAAAAAAUAAUAAAUAUUAACUCCUUGCU